rnacentral:rRNA from 1 species
UACAGAGGUCUCAAGCGUUGUUCGGAUUCAUUGGGCGUAAAGGGUGCGUAGGCGGCGUGGUAAGUCGGAUGUGAAAUCUCGGAGCUUAACUCCGAAACUGCAUUCGAUACUGCCGUGCUUGAGGACUGGAGAGGAGACUGGAGUUUACGGUGUAGCGGUGAAAUGCGUAGAUAUCGUAAGGAAGACCAGUGGCGAAGGCGGGUCUCUGGACAGUUCCUGACGCUGAGGCACGAAGGCCAGGGGAGCAAACGGG